rnacentral:rRNA from 1 species
UACGGAGGGGUGCAAGCGUUAUCCGGAUUCACUGGGUUUAAAGGGUGACGUAGGUGGGAAUGUAAGUCAGUGGUGAAAUCUCCGUGCUUAACAUGGAAACUGCCAUUGAUACUAUGUUUCUUGAAUCUUCCGGAGGUCAGCGGAAUAUGUCAUGUAGCGGUGAAAUGCUUAGAUAUGACAUAGAACACCAAUUGCGAAGGCAGCUGACUACAGGGGCAUUGACACUGAGGCACGAAAGCGUGGGGAUCAAACAGG